AUGGACUCUGAAGACCCGUCCAGCUCGUCUUCAUCCUGCACCACUGAACCCCAACCCACUGUGUCCGGUGACCAGAAGGACAGUAUCCAUGGUGAUCAGAAAGACACAGCGCAGGGUCAGGAGAGGGUUACUGUGAGUCUGGACAUGAACAGUGAAACACCAACAUUUAAUAUCGUAGUCAAAGAAGAAGAAGACUGGGAACUAGAUAAUACAGGAGAGAGUUGCAGCCUUCACUCUGACAGUGAGGAGGUUCUACCUCAGGAGAACCUGAACAACAGGACACAAACAACAACAAACACAAAUCCAAGAAGUCACAUGACUACAGAGAGUGUGGAAAGGAGGUCCCUACCUCGUAUAAACUAGGCCUAUUCCCAACAUAGUGCACUACUUCACCCUAAAUACAUCCCUAAUGGCACCCUAUUCCCUAAGUAGUGCACUACUUUACCCUAAUAUACAUCCCUAAUGGCACCCUAUUCCCUAAGUAGUGCACUAUUUUACCCUAAUACACAUCCCUAAUAGCACCCUAUUCCCUACAUAGUGCACUACUUCACCCUAAUAUAGGCCCCAAAUGGCACCCUAUUCCCGACAUAGUGCACUACUUUACCCUAAUAUACAUCCCUAAUGGCACCCUAUUCCCGACAUAGUGCACUACUUCACCCUAAUAUACAUCCCUAAUGACACCCUAUUCCCUACGUAGUGCACUACUUCACCCUAAUAUACAUCCCUAAUGGCACCCUAUUCCCUACGUAGUGCACUACUUCACCCUAAUAUACAUCCCUAAUGGCACCCUAUUCCCUACGUAGUGCACUACUUCACCCUAAUAUACAUCCCUAAUG
rnacentral:lncRNA from 8 species